GGCGGUCUCCUCCCAAAGAGUAACGGAGGAGCACGAAGGUUAGCUAAUCCUGGUCGGACAUCAGGAGGUUAGUGCAAUGGCAUAAGCUAGCUUGACUGCGAGAGUGACGGCUCGAGCAGGUGCGAAAGCAGGUCAUAGUGAUCCGGUGGUUCUGAAUGGAAGGGCCAUCGCUCAACGGAUAAAAGGUACUCCGGGGAUAACAGGCUGAUACCGCCCAAGAGUUCAUAUCGACGGCGGUGUUUGGCACCUCGAUGUCGGCUCAUCACAUCCUGGGGCUGAAGUAGGUCCCAAGGGUAUGGCUGUUCGCCAUUUAAAGUGGUACGCGAGCUGGGUUUAGAACGUCGUGAGACAGUUCGGUCCCUAUCUGCCGUGGGCGCUGGAGAAUUGAGGGGGGCUGCUCCUAGUACGAGAGGACCGGAGUGGACGCAUCACUGGUGUUCGGGUUGUCAUGCCAAUGGCACUGCCCGGUAGCUAAAUGCGGAAGAGAUAAGUGCUGAAAGCAUCUAAGCACGAAACUUGCCCCG
rnacentral:rRNA from 1 species